CCUUAGAAAACCCCAAAUCAACUCUCCAUCUCUCUUCUAGAAACAGAGAAAUAGAAGAAGAGAGCAAAACACAGAAUACACCGAGACUGGGCCAGAAAUGGAGCUCGCUGCUUCUUCGUCGUCGUCUUCUUCGGCAGCUUCAGAAGCUCUCAUACAAACCCUAAUUAGUAGAGGCUGGUGUUUUGGGGAUGUCGAGCAGGUUAAAGCCAUCAUCGUCGUUCAAUCCGCCUUGCACGGCGGCUCCUGCACCGCUGAUUUUGUCGAAUCGGAGCUCGUUAACAUGGACUUGCGAUCCCUCGGUGGGAAAUCGCUGCCCGAUGGUUCUCUCCUCCUCAAGUCUUCGUAUCUUCAAGGCCCCAAAGUCCUUCAGCUCUCCUCGGUAAGGGACAUAUCUCGAAGCAGUACUGCUGAUACUUCGGCAGGUUCAAAUAAUCGGCGUCUGUUGAGAUUUUUUCUUACAGAUGGGCACUCUCAGAUAACUGCUAUAGAGUACUCUCAUAUACCAUCAAUUGCUGACGAUGUCGUUCCCGGCACUAAGGUUCGAUUGGGAAAUAAGGCUCCAGUACACAGUGGUAUUGUGUGUUUGAAUCCUAAAGUGAUAACUGUAUUAGGCGGUGUGGUUCCGACCCUAUAUGAAGAAUGGCAGAUGAACAAAAAAUACUCAGGUUUCGACCGCUCAUUGAUAAAGGCAUCGAAGGAAGGUGACACAGGUGGUCCUCCACCAUUUGAGAAGUUGCAAAUUGAAGCAGUCUGGCAUCAAAGGCCUCAAGGCCGAUCUUCUCAGUAUUCAGGCUCAACCUCUUCUAGCUUUGGCCCAACUGUUCCGGCAGGAGAUGAAAAUUCAAAAUCUACAAAGACCAAUGGACUCCACAACUCUGAUUCGAAAGCAGAUGGCGUGGAUAACAGUGCAAAAUUGGCUUCUAAUACUGAAAGAUCUGAAGAAAAACCAAGUAGCUCUGAAGCAAGACCAAAAGAAGUGGCUGAAGCUGUCCCCGUACAAAAUCAAGCGGCUGCACAAAAACUCCUUCAGAAACUGAAUCAGCCAAACUGGGAUGAUCGUCGUUCUAGAGGUGGAAAACAUAGAGGGAAGGGGAGAGGGAGACAGGAGGAAUUACCAGUUUUCACUUUAGAGGAGUGGGAAAGGAGAAAAGCCGGGGGAAAUCUUUCUGUCAGAGAUGAGCUUGCGGGUGUUAGCCAAGAUGAGGCCCUUGCAUGGCAGCUUCAAAACCAAUUUGAUAUGGAAGACCACCAAGUUAGUGCUGAAAUACAAAGGGCUCCUCACAACUCGGAUGCAGAGAACAUAAGAAUGAGAAUGUUCAGUUUUGAAAGAGAUAAUGCCGGGUCACACGAUGGGACGGGUUUCAGAGGAAGAGGAAGAGGAAGGGGAAGAGGAAGGACCAGAGGAGGAGGGAGAGGCAGAGGGAGAUUUUAGUUGAAUGCUUGGCUUCCCCCUCUGGUCUUUUCAGGUAUUCUGCAGCAGUUUCAUGGGAGGCUUGAAUGUCAUCCACAACGGAGAGCAGUUUUGCAGGCCGGACUUGUUUCUUGGUUCCUUUCAGCAUAGGAAAACCUUCUGAGAUAGUUGUGUCAGUGCGAUGUAGCAUGAUUGGAGCAUUUGAAUUGCUUACAACGAGUAAUGGUUGCGAAUGGGUGGAUUUGGACGGCUUUAAUUAGCCGUUUUGCUAUACGAAUACUAUACUAUACCAAAUCGAACCCAUUUAUCUACAUUUAGCGAUUUAUUUGUGCACCUUCGGAAGAAACCAAUUUUGAGGUUCCGUUUAUCGUAGCAGGAGUCCUUUACAAGACUGAACGGAGACCGCCAGCAGCAGAAGCAUGUUUGCGACUUGAUGCUAGAAAAAUGUGGUGGAAACAACUUGAAUUGGAUCUUCAAGAUUAGAUUUCUCCUCCUGUAGUAAUAUAUGAACUACUACAACGAACUUGGCUUACGAACAAACCCAGAUGUCUUUUCUUUUCAUAAUUUCCCCCCUGGGUAAUGGAUUUGUUUUAUGACUUGGUUAAUUACGUUACGCGGUGACUUCAGUUA